AUUGCUGGAGUUCUGAUUCCAGGAGGGAGGUUGAAUCAAACCCCAUUCCUGGAAUGACAAAAUUAUCCCACUACUUUUAAUAUUCCCAAAAUAUCCUUUUGGAAUUUAAAAAAAAAAAAAAGAAAACUGAAAACCUAAGCAAGCAGCUGCUGCCCUAAGGGAAACGAUCAGACUCGUCGUCGCCGUUGCUCGUGCUUGUCACCGACAUCAUAGCUGCUCGUGCUCAUUGCCCACAUCACAGCUGUUCGUGCUCGCGCUUGUCGUCGCCGUUUCUCCCUCCGUCACACACUCGUCGUCGUCCACACAUCGCAACAGCCCGUCACCGAUUGGAUUUGCGCACCUCCGUCACGCAUCGUCGUCGUCCCACAUCAAAGCUCGUCAUCAGGUGAUCUAAUUUGCGCUCCUCAUCACCGAUCGUCCCCACAUUUAUUUGUUAAUGCAAUUGUUAUAAAGAUUAAUUAUUUCUGUUUUGGUUAUUAAUUAUUAUUAUUAUUUAUUUAUUAUUAAUAAUAUUAUUAUUACUAUCAUCAUCAAAUGAUAAUAUUAUAAAAAGAGUAUUUUAAUAAAUUAAAAUUGUUCAUUUCGAUUCUCAGAUAAAAUAAAUAUAUUAAUAAAAAUAAAAUUAAUUUUAAUUUUUAUUGUUUAAAUAAAUAAUUUAUUUUAAUUUUUAUUUCUAAUUACGAUUUCAGUCCAUCUCAAUAAUAAAUGCAGUAUUAAAGGACAGCCGAUGACCUCAGGCAGCUCAAAUGAGUAGGCAAUAUUCAUGAACGUCUACAAAUCCACAAUGCAAUCCAAGCAAAUAUAUUUAGGUUAAUUGACUAGAAUCUUCGCUGUUCGUACGAUGUCAAGAUACAAGGACCUAUAGCAAUGUCAUUGUAGUGGAUAAAGUCCCGGCUACUUUUCAACAUUUUGUGUCGGUGGAUUUUCCAGACUGAUUCCUCACCAACU
rnacentral:lncRNA from 1 species